CCAAGUGGAUAGAUCUUAUUGAUAAAAAGUGGAACACUAAAGAAUUUCUGGAACAAUCAAAGGCCAACAUUGCGAACAGAGAAAUGAUGUAUACAAAACAUAGGUGUGGUUCUAGGUCAAUCCCUGUUAGAGUAGAAAAACUGGCACGAGAAAAGAAGAUGCUACCUGAUCUAGCAAAGUUGUACAAGGAAACUCACUAUGAUGAGAAAACACAUGAGUGGAU